rnacentral:rRNA from 1 species
CGGACGGGUGAGUAAUGCUUGGGAAUCUGGCUUAUGGAGGGGGAUAACUACGGGAAACUGUAGCUAAUACCGCGUAAUAUCUUCGGAUUAAAGGGUGGGACUUUCGGGCCACCUGCCAUAAGAUGAGCCCAAGUGGGAUUAGGUAGUUGGUGGGGUAAAGGCCUACCAAGCCGACGAUCUCUAGCUGGUCUGAGAGGAUGACCAGCCACACUGGAACUGAGACACGGUCCAGACUCCUACGGGAGGCAGCAGUGGGGAAUAUUGCACAAUGGGGGGAACCCUGAUGCAGCCAUGCCGCGUGAAUGAAGAAGGCCUUCGGGCUGUAAAGUUCUUUCGGUGAUGGGGAAGGUGUUUGUUUUAAUAGAACAAGCAAUUGACGUUAGUCACAGAAGAAGCACCGGCUAACUCCGUGCCAGCAGCCGCGGUAAUACGGAGGGUGCGAGCGUUAAUCGGAAUGACUGGGCGUAAAGGGCACGCAGGCGGUGACUUAAGUGAGAUGUGAAAGCCCCGGGCUUAACCUGGGAAUUGCAUUUCAUACUGGGUCGCUAGAGUAUUUUAGGGAGGGGUAGAAUUCCACGUGUAGCGGUGAAAUGCGUAGAGAUGUGGAGGAAUACCGAAGGCGAAGGCAGCCCCUUGGGAAUAUACUGACGCUCAUGUGCGAAAGCGUGGGGAGCAAACAGGAUUAGAUACCCUGGUAGUCCACGCUGUAAACGCUGUCGAUUUGGGGAUUGGGCUUUAAGCUUGGUGCCCGUAGCUAACGUGAUAAAUCGACCGCCUGGGGAGUACGGCCGCAAGGUUAAAACUCAAAUGAAUUGACCGGG